AUACGGAGGGUGCAAGCGUUGUCCGGAUUUAUUGGGUUUAAAGGGUGCGUAGGCGGUUUGAUAAGUCAGUGGUGAAAUACUUCAGCUCAACUGGAGAGGUGCCAUUGAAACUGUCAGACUUGAGAAUAGAUGAGGCAGGCGGAAUUUAUGGUGUAGCGGUGAAAUGCAUAGAUACCAUAAAGAACACCGAUAGCGAAGGCAGCUUGCUAGACUAUAUCUGACGCUGAGGCACGAAAGCGUGGGGAGCGAACAGGAUUAGAUACCCCGGUAGUCC
rnacentral:rRNA from 1 species